UACGUAGGGGGCAAGCGUUGUCCGGAAUUAUUGGGCGUAAAGAGCGCGUAGGCGGUCUGUCGCGUCUGCUGUGAAAACUCGGGGCUUAACCCCGGGCCUGCAGUGGGUACGGGCAGACUAGAGUGCGGUAGGGGAAACUGGAAUUCCUGGUGUAGCGGUGAAAUGCGCAGAUAUCAGGAGGAACACCGGUGGCGAAGGCGGGUCUCUGGGCCGAAACUGACGCUGAGGAGCGAAAGCGUGGGGAGCGAACAGG
rnacentral:rRNA from 1 species